ACACUUCUCUGGAUGGACUGGAGAAGGCAGAGACGUGAGCAGCAGACAAGAUGGAAUGUGAUAAAUGCGCGGAUUAGCACGAUAGACUGUGACAGCAGAAUUGGAGAACAUUUUUCCAGCGAGUCGCACCAGUCGGGAUGCAGCAAGACAUAGUGGCAGAAGGAACGGUUGUGAGGAGGUGUGUGGUGUCAGACAUGGGCCCCGCUUAUCACAGGAGGAACUGAACGGCAGGAUGAAUGACUUCAAUCAAUUCACUGCUACUGCCGGAAAG